rnacentral:rRNA from 1 species
CAGCAGUAGCCGCGGGAAUACGGAGGGUGCAAGCGUUAAUCGGAAUUACUGGGCGUAAAGCGCACGCAGGCGGUCUGACAAGUCAGAUGUGAAAUCCCCGGGCUUAACCUGGGAACUGCAUUUGAAACUGUCAGACUGGAGUCUUGUAGAGGGGGGUAGAAUUCCAGGUGUAGCGGUGAAAUGCGUAGAGAUCUGGAGGAAUACCGGUGGCGAAGGCGGCCCCCUGGACAAAGACUGACGCUCAGGUGCGAAAGCGUGGGGAGCAAACAGGAUUAGAUACCCGCGUAGUCCCUGUCUCUUAUAC